rnacentral:tRNA from 1 species
AGGCGGCCUACGAGGCGGGUUCGGGCACCUUCGAGGUGCCGGGGCGGACGGUGGCGGUCUUCCGGGCCGGCUGAGACUCCCGCGCUGCCUCC